AUGAUCGAGCAUGGAAUUGUUGCCUACCUAAUCGAAAAUCAUCAUCUUCUUCUAUCCAUCCCUCUUGAUGUAUGUUUUGUGUCCCAAUUCAAGAGAUGUUUCAUUGUCUCACUCCAUGAGUUGAUCCUGAGUGCUCGAUCUUCGAGGAGAUCAUUUUUUGUAGAGUUCCCUUCUGUCGUCAUCGUGUUGGGUCAAGAUCUCGAAAGCAAGGAUGUCAAGACCAACGUGAUGCAAUGGAUAAACAUCUUCGAGAAAGGCAGUUGGAUCGAGAAGAUUGUGAUAGUUCGAGUCCCCUCUUCCUUUUACCCUACGCUUGAAUCUCGGGACGAGAUUCUUGUUUAG
rnacentral:rRNA from 1 species